rnacentral:rRNA from 1 species
GAUGAACGCUGGCGGCGUGCCUAAUACAUGCAAGUCGAGCGAACAGACGAGGAGCUUGCUCCUCUGACGUUAGCGGCGGACGGGUGAGUAACACGUGGAUAACCUACCUAUAAGACUGGGAUAACUUCGGGAAACCGGAGCUAAUACCGGAUAAUAUAUUGAACCGCAUGGUUCAAUAGUGAAAGACGGUUUUGCUGUCACUUAUAGAUGGAUCCGCGCCGCAUUAGCUAGUUGGUAAGGUAACGGCUUACCAAGGCAACGAUGCGUAGCCGACCUGAGAGGGUGAUCGGCCACACUGGAACUGAGACACGGUCCAGACUCCUACGGGGGGCAGCAGUAGGGAAUCUUCCGCAAUGGGCGAAAGCCUGACGGAGCAACACCGCGUGAGUGAUGAAGGUCUUCGGAUCGUAAAACUCUGUUAUUAGGGAAGAACAAAUGUGUAAGUAACUAUGCACGUCUUGACGGUACCUAAUCAGAAAGCCACGGCUAACUACGUG